rnacentral:tRNA from 1 species
GGCCCCGUAGCUCAGCUGGAUAGAGCGGCAGAUUCCUAAUCUGUAGGUCGCAGGUUCGAGUCCUGCCGGGGUCACCA